ACAUGCCUACAACACAGAAUUAAUGCACUGGAUCCCAUUAUAACUCCACAAUUAAGCAUGCUCGGGCUAGAGUCGUACUAGGAUGGGUGACAACUCAUGAAGUCCUAGUGUUUUACAUGCC
rnacentral:rRNA from 1 species